CUGACUAUUGCGAUGCGACAUAAUCUAGUGACCGUGCGGAUCUCGUGAUGUUCAGCAUAACCAAAGGCUAUGUGAAACGGUGGAAUUAUGAUUCUUCUAUUCGUUUCUGACUCCCAGCGGUUUUCCUUUUAGAUCGGAAAGUGCGUAGGAACUGGAUCCCUUCUUCGCGGUAACAACACACGGAACGUAUUGAGGACCCAAUUUUGCGUUAAAAGCUUUGCCGGCUGCUGAUUGACCGAAAGUCCGCUUGAAUACUCGCUGGCCAAUGUUAAAUGAUGGUAUGGUGGCGAUGUUAGCAGCAAGCAUGGCGAUUCGACAAUCAUCACGUGUAUUCCGGAAAAGAACAUCAAAUUUUCGCUUUUCAUCCCAGGGACACGACAAGCUGCGGAAGAUUCGGACCAUGUCAAGACGAUUACGUAGCACUCUUUCCAACUGAGUACGCGAUGCGACAACAUUCAAUCCGCGAAUUCGCAGUUCGUACUCCAACUCAUCUACCAUUAAAUGCGUUACGUUCAUCGCCUGAUACUGUGCGAGUAAAAUUGAUAUUUCCAUUGCGACGAU